rnacentral:rRNA from 1 species
GUGGGGAAUAUUCCGCAAUGGACGAAAGUCUGACGGAGCAACGCCGCGUGAGUGAUGAAGGUUUUCGGACUGUAAAGCUCUGUUGUUUGGGACGAAAGUGCCUGUUGCGAACAGUUACGGGUAUUGACGGUACUAAACGAGGAAGCCACGGCUAACUACGUGCCAGCAGCCGCGGUAAUACGUAGGUGGCAAGCGUUGUCCGGAAUUAUUGGGCGUAAAGAGCAUGUAGGCGGGAAUCUAAGUCUGUUGUUAAAAUGCGGGGCUCAACCCCGUAUUGCGAUGGAAACUGGGUUUCUUGAGUGCAGGAGAGGAAAGGGGAAUUCCCAGUGUAGCGGUGAAAUGCGUAGAUAUUGGGAGGAACACCAGUGGCGAAGGCGCCUUUCUGGACUGUGUCUGACGCUGAGAUGCGAAAGCCAGGGUAGCGAACGGGAUUAGAUACCCGGGUAGUCC